ensembl:lncRNA
GGGGAGGAGGCUCGCGGCCGCCCGGCGCCCUAGGCCGCAGCCGCCCUCGCCGCCGGCCGGGCCGGGUGGAGGUCUGCGCGGCUCCCGCGGGCUGUGCCCCCAGUUCCCCGCGGGCCGGGCCAGGUGGAGGGGGACGCGCGGGCGGGUGCAGGACCGGGGGCCUCAGUUAGAGGGGGGCAGGGGUCCUCCCCGGUGGUGAGAUGGGGGGGCGUGGGGAUCUUCACAGUCAGGGAUGGGCCAUGAGCCCACCCCGCCCUGCAAGCCCGGGCCGGUCGGACGCCCCGGGGGAUCUGGGCUUGCCCUCCAAGGAAGCCCACCCCUCUCGGCCUGGCGACGGGCCCCAGGCCACCUCCCCGAGGGCAGAGCCUGGGGGCCCGGCGGGGUGUCGGCCAGCAGCCGGUUCAAAACUACCGGGGCGGAGCUUCUUCGGUGUCCGGGUGAAGUUUCCAAACCAACCCGAGGAGGAAGACCUCCGGGAGGGGAGAGGCCGAAAGCGUUUCGUUUCCAGUGCUUUGGCUGCUUGAAAGCACUUGGAAUACUAGCAGCUGUGAACUUAGCCAAAAAAAAUCACCUCUUCUCCGACUCCAGAGGAAAGAAACAAGAAGGAAUGAGUCACUGCUGCCUCCAGAAAGUAGUAGUUUGUUUACAACGACCAACAGCAGCAGCCCCCUGAAGGGACCGGCUGCAGCCGGGGUUGCUAGGACCCCGACGUCUACAUUCGUGCCGGUGAAUGACGUUGCACCAAGGCUGGACCUCCAAAAAUGAGCCCCAGAGAGUUCCCAGACCGUUGGAAGAGGUUAAAAAGCCCUCCACCGAACUGAGGAGUGUUUCUUCUCAGAGGUGUCAACUGGAUUCAGAGUUCCCUGCGGCGCUCUGGAUCAGACAAGAAGUGAGAGCAGAGAUGAUUGACAGGACUGAGCCAAUGAUGAGAUCCUGCCCAAUUGUUCACUGCAUUCAUUUCAAUACUAACCCAUUCUUUGAGUGCCAACUUAUGUCAGACAUCUACUUCAGUGCUGGGCAUACAAACAACCAGAUCCUCACGUGCUUCAUCCCACCC